AGCACGGAUUACAUUAUCUAUUAUUCUAUAGAUAAGGUUAGGCUUAAAAGUAUUUGCUUCAGAUUCCUGUUAAUAAAACUGGCAUUCCGGUUAUUCUAUGUACCCAUACAACCCGUACACAAAAUAACUGAAUUGACAUCUUAUUAACCGGUCUUAUAGAGUAGUAUUUCCUCCCUCCCGAAAAACUUACUAGUCCACCAUGCAUCCGUACUGCCAUGCAUUUCUGUAAAGCUUCGUUUCAGAGAUCGGUGUCAACAAUGUACAGAAUGUGAUGCAAGAGAUGGUUCGCUGCACAUUAAAACAAAAUAUGAAUAUUGGCAUCAGAUUCAAGGACAACAACACCUGAAAGACACCCAAUGCUGUGAUUUGCUAGUGUGGAUUCCCAGUGACACUCAAAUACAUUGACAAAGAUGUAUUAUGGUCAACUUUUUAAGCGUGAUAGAGUUUAAUUAUAAUAAUAAAGUAUUUUUGCAGUCUGAAUCACACACACAUAACCACAUGUACAUAUACUUUAUUAUGAUAUCAGUGGUGCAUCUGUCAAAGUUAUGUAAUUACAUGUAUAUUUAUUGAAUAAACAUUAUAGACAGA